rnacentral:rRNA from 1 species
UGAGGAAUAUUGGUCAAUGGGCGGCAGCCUGAACCAGCCAUCCCGCGUGAAGGAAGAAUGCGCUAUGCGUUGUAAACUUCUUUUCCAGGAGAAUAAAAUGCCAUACGUGUAUGGUACUGAAGGUAUCCUGGGAAUAAGCAUCGGCUAACUCCGUGCCAGCAGCCGCGGUAAUACGGAGGAUGCGAGCGUUAUCCGGAUUUAUUGGGUUUAAAGGGUGCGUAGGCGGGAUUAUAAGUCAGUGGUGAAAACCUGCAGCUUAACUGUAGACUUGCCAUUGAUACUGUAGUUCUUGAGUGUGGUCAAGGCAGGCGGAAUGUGUAAUGUAGCGGUGAAAUGCUUAGAUAUUACACAGAACACCGAUUGCGAAGGCAGCUUGCUGGGCCAAUACUGACGCUGAGGCAC